rnacentral:rRNA from 1 species
UACGGGGGGGGCAAGCGUUGCUCGGAAUUACUGGGCGUAAAGCGCACGUAGGCGGCUUUCUAAGUCGGGGGUGAAAUCCUGGAGCUCAACUCCAGAACUGCCUUCGAUACUGGAAAGCUCGAGUCCGGGAGAGGUGAGUGGAACUGCGAGUGUAGAGGUGAAAUUCGUAGAUAUUCGCAAGAACACCAGUGGCGAAGGCGGCUCACUGGCCCGGUACUGACGCUGAGGUGCGAAAGCGUGGGGAGCAAACAGG